rnacentral:lncRNA from 1 species
CUCUCUCCUCCCUGGCAGCCUCAGAUGGCUAGAGCCGAUGAGACAGGCCACCCUUUGCUGGCCUCAUUAUCAGCUCUUCCACCGAAGUGUGCCGAGCACAGGGGGAAGCUGAGCCACCAGCAAGAAUUGCCUGGUCCUAUGCCUAAGGACUCAAGACUUCUCCCUUAGCCCCUGACCAGCUGGACUNCUGUCUGCUCUCACCUUGAGGACCCCACCCUGGAUCAAGGUCAUCCCUUCAAUGGCAGAAAUGGCACCAUGACUUNAAGACCUGUGGAAGCUAAUGCUCUUGAGAGUGUCUAGUCAGCCCAACAGCAUAAGUUUCUCUGUGGCUUUUAGCUGCAUGAGGGUAACUUUGGUAUGACUUACAUUUAAGACUCUUCAAACCCAUCAACCAUCCCUCAAGCAUAUCUCUGUCACUGGUACU